AAACAUUACAGCCCUUCUAGAAUUUAUCUAGUAGAUUUUCCAGUUUUUACUAGAAACUCCCC
ensembl:snRNA U7 U7 small nuclear RNA